rnacentral:rRNA from 1 species
GAUGAACGCUGGCGGCGUGCCUAAUACAUGCAAGUAGAACGCUGAAGCUUGGUGCUUGCACCAAGCGGAUGAGUUGCGAACGGGUGAGUAACGCGUAGGUAACCUGCCUCUUAGCGGGGGAUAACUAUUGGAAACGAUAGCUAAUACCGCAUAAAAGUCGAUAUCGCAUGAUAUUGAUUUGAAAGGUGCAAAUGCAUCACUAAGAGAUGGACCUGCGUUGUAUUAGCUAGUUGGUGAGGUAACGGCUCACCAAGGCGACGAUACAUAGCCGACCUGAGAGGGUGAUCGGCCACACUGGGACUGAGACACGGCCCAGACUCCUACGGGAGGCAGCAGUAGGGAAUCUUCGGCAAUGGGGGCAACCCUGACCGAGCAACGCCGCGUGAGUGAAGAAGGUUUUCGGAUCGUAAAGCUCUGUUGUAAGAGAAGAACGAGUGUGAGAGUGGAAAGUUCACACUGUGACGGUAACUUACCAGAAAGGGACGGCUAACUACGUG